UACGGGAGGCAGCAGUGGGGAAUAUUGCACAAUGGGCGAAAGCCUGAUGCAGCUAUGCCGCGUGUAUGAAGAAGGCCUUAGGGUUGUAAAGUACUUUCAGCAGGGAGGAAAGAAUAAAACUAAUAAUUUUAUUUUGUGACGUUACCUGAAGAAGAAGCACCGGCUAACUCCGUGCCAGCAGCCGCGGUAAUACGGAGGGUGCAAGCGUUAAUCAGAAUUACUGGGCGUAAAGAGCGCGUAGGUGGUUUUUUAAAGUCAGAUGUGAAAUCCCUAGGCUUAACCUAGGAACUGCAUUUUGAAACUGAAAACUAGAGUAUCGUAGAGGGAGGUAGAAUUCUAGGUGUAGCGGUGAAAUGCGUAGAUAUCUGGAGGAAUACCUGUGGCGAAAGCGGCCUCCUAAACGAAUACUGACACUGAGGUGCGAAAGCGUGGGGAGCAAACAGGGAUUAGAUACC
rnacentral:rRNA from 1 species